CGUCGCAAGCCUCCCCCUCAGCUAUAUUUGUCCCUCCCCCAUCAUCUCUCCCCCUCUCUUUCCACUCUCUGUAUCAAAGCCUGGGGGAGCCAGUAGAGAUUAAAUGUAGCCUCUAUAAGCCAAGCACAUCAUGUAGCUAUGUUUCUAUGGCCUGCUCUCUCUCGCCCCUCUCUCUCGCUCUCUUUCUGCUCUCUCUCUCCCCUCUCAUUCUCUUUUUGAAGGAUAGUGUUAAUGAUGUCGGGCAUGUGUGAGGUAGUGAGGCAGUGAGUGAGAGAGAGUGAGAGCGAGAGAGAAAGAGAGAAAACGAGAGACGGAGAGGGAGGGAGGGAAAGUGAGAGAGAACGUAUGAGACAGAGGAUACAUGCAAGAAGAAAAUCAAGGAAAACUGAGGAUUUGUUGAUGGGAAACGGACUUAAAUAAAACACUGAAAAGGUGGAAAAGCAAGAGGCGGCCGACUUUCUUAUUCCUCCUCCUCCUCCUCUCCCUCCGCCUCCUCCUCCUCUCUCUCUCUGUCUCUCUCUGUCUCUCCGGCUGAUACAUCAGAGAAGUGGGCCUCUUGCUUUAAAUUAUUACAGCUGUACAGGCAAAUUAAUGGAUGAUAUUUCAAAAUUGAAUUGGAAAAGCAUUUUUUCAUCUCCUGCCUUUCAACACAGAUGCAUGAAGACGAGAGCGGGGGACCUGGGAUUCAGUUUUAUUUUUUCCUUUCGCCCUUCUUCCAAUUUUGCAUGUGUUUCUGUUCUGCACUGAGAGAGAGAGGGAGAGAGACAGAGUUAGAGAGAGAGAGAGAGAGAGAGAGAGAGAGAGGGGGGGGUGAAAGAAAAAAUGUAUCAAUGUUAGCGAGGGAAGCAGUACAGCAGCAACAUCCAUUGAUGCAUUUUGUCUUUUAAUUAGUUUGGAUAUUUUUUUACUCUUGUGCCAUAUAUGACAAAAAAAACUGUACAUUUUCUUCUAACCUGAACUGGAUAUGAAAUAGGGAUAUACAACCAAGUUAACAGCAGCGAAACAAAGCAACAAGGGGACAAGGGCUGCUGUCUCCUCAUUCCGAACCAGACGUGGUUCUCUCCCUUUCUUUCUCUCCUAUUUCUCACAGGCACACAUACACACAAACACACCGACAGAAAAAUGAACACAGGUACACCAACCAACUCUCUCCAGUCUCGCAGGUUUAACACUGAGAGGGGAAUGUGUAAUUAUUGUGAUUAAUGGAUAAUCUAUGAUAGGCUUUAUCUUUGGAUUCAUCUACACAGGCGCAUUCCCCUAUGGUUAUCCCAAAGAAUAACCCUUCUGUACAAUAUAGCCACAAUCUUGCACAGUAUAAGCACUCCUUCUAUUCAUGAUCUGAACCACUGGUAUAUCUGUUGCAAGUUGAUCUCAAACCACAUCCUUUAUCAUAGAAACAAGUCUGGUUUAGAUUAUCAACCAGUCUGAAUUGCCCUUAUUCAAAUCUUUCUGAUUUAAAUGUUUUUGUCAUUCCCAACAUUUCUUCAAUUGAUCUGAUAAACUAUUCAUGUGAAGGUCUGUUGAUAAACGCUAAUAAACCGUUAUCCGGCACUUUGUUAACCAACAUAUCAUGUGUGUGUAAACCAUGAACGAUAACUUUACUUACAGCCAGAGUGUAUAAUGCUUCAUUACUCGUUAUAAGAAUAAUGAGCCCUAGGGCCCUGUUUUGCAUAAUCAUGUGACAUGCCUGGUUUUUAAACGUUAUUUAAAGCCUUUUCAUCAAACUGUCCCGUUUUAUUUUUCAUGUCAGAUGGUCUGGAUAAUGUCUUAUUAUAAUACUUAGAAUAUGUUAUAUAUUUAUAUGCUGUAAAAAAAAAAUGGUCUGACUAAAAAUCGCUGUUAUUUAGUCAGAAUCAUUAUGAUAUUAUAAUAACACAAAGGAGUUAUUGUCUUAACCAUUUCAAAAUAGCUGUUAUUUAGUCAGUAUCAUUAUGAUAUUAUAAUAACACAAAGGAGUUAUAGUCUUAACCAUUUAAAAAUAGCUUACUAAUGUUUAAUAAACAAUGAUCAUUUGCCUAGCAAAGAAUACCCAAAUUCCCCUUUUUGAUGAAAAAGAAAGCAAGUUGUUUAUUAAUUAGAAUGUGUGAUGAACAUCUCCUGUGUUACUGUGGGUCUUCUGUCAGUCAGACAGUGAACAAACAGAAAAUAAGGCAUUUUAAAGAUUCAUGUUAUAUGAUCAAUUAUAACUAGCUAGUAGAUCAAAUCAAAUGUAUUUAUUUACUACUAUGAAUGGUUAAAAAUGGAGGCGUAAGCUACAAUAUGUACCUUAUGAUACUGUUAGUUGGUACGGAUGUUUUUUAAUCUGCUGCUGUGCUUUUGUUACAUAGUUUUUCCAUACAGAAUUAAUAAGAGUUGGCAAGUGGCCCAUUUUCUCAGUUCUUUAAAGAGAAAUCCCACAUGCCACGCCAAUGGUGAGAACAAGGUUUUGACAUCUCUGUCUCACACAUAUUAUGUGUGAGUGGGCGUUUUUUACAAGAACUGUCAAAGUUAACAUUUACGUUAUUUUGCAGACGCUCUUAUCAAGAGCAACUAGGGUUAAAUGCCUUGCUCAAGAGCGCACAUCAACAGACUUUUCACUUAGUCAGCUUGGGGAUUCAAACCAGCAACCUUUUUAGUUACUGGCCCAAUGCGCUUAACCGUUAGGCCACCUGUCGCUCUAACGUGUUAAUGACGCGUGAUAUCUUUAAUGUCAUUAAAUUCUUUGACGUCGUUAAUCACAUCUCCAUUUCUUCACCGCACAGACCAUUUUAAGCACACGUGUUUCUGCAUGGACCCCUUUAAGUGCAACACACAACACGCUCUGUGCUGUGUGCAGUGUGCAUACGGUCUCGGUAGAGCUGUCUGUCUCUGUGUUGUUCAAACAUCCACUAGCUUCUUGAUUCAACUAACUUCACACAAUGAAUUUAAUCAGAAAAGGACAUCCAUUCCAUGUAUUAACUGUUUUUGUUGUAAUCUCAGGUUAAAACGAUUUAUACAAAGUAUCCCAUUUCUAAUAGCAGCAUUGUGACUAGUCCAUGUUGAAGAACAUGGAUAAGUAGCCUAUGGCUGUAUUAUAUUUGACAUGAAGUUAGACAUGGCUGAUCUGUUAUUAUUGUCUUCUGUGGGAUUCAUACCAUUUUUGGACAGGUUUAAAUGCUCUUUGUUCUUUGUAUCCAUAGACCCAGUCGGUGUUAGAUGUGGUGACCCCACCUGGUGAGAAAACCUGUGGUUACCCCGUUGGCUAACUGCAAAACAGAAAUGUGCAAAACAGAAAUGUGCUCAUUACCAGUCGGUGAAAGAUAGAACGUCGCCUGUGGGGAACACUACCUGUAGUUACCUAGGUUACCCCAUCGGCUCACAGAAAAAGUUGGCCUUUUUCAAGCGCAAUUGUCUUGUUGUCUGCUUGUUUUAGUCAAUUACAACACUACAUUUAAGAAAACAUUUAAGGAUGACUUUUCAACAUUGCCUGCUCCCGAGCGUCCUCACUACUUAGAAAAUCAUAAUAUUGUAGGCCUUCCCUCAUGCCUCUUUUCAUGACGAUGCUAACAGCCACUUGAGUAAGUGAGUGCUAGCUAUCUACUGACCGGAACAUUAAGCUAGCUAAGACCAAGAACAUUAAGCUAGCUAAGACCAACAACACAAACAAACGGGCUAUGCAGCUACAAGUAGUGAGUGGAGUUACAAACAGACAGUACUAAACAAGUUAAAUGUCUUACCUGUGAUGACAUUUUUUCCACACACAUAGCUACGUGUAGCCUAUUUGUACACCACGUCCUCACAUUUUCCACACUCCCACACCGAGUAGCCUGAAGUGUGUGUGUGUGUGCGUGUGUGUGCACGCAAGUGUUAAACUUCAAGAACAUUGAUAAGAGGGAGUAGGUGUAUGUUACAGUGACUUUUGUGUUGUUUAUGGUGAAAAUGCUAUUUAAUCAUUCUGUUGUAGAUCCUUUUGUGUUGUUUAUGGUGCCAUUAAAAACCUUCUGAUGCAAA